GAUGAACGCUGGCGGCGUGCCUAAUACAUGCAAGUCGAGCGAACGGACGAGAAGCUUGCUCCUCUGAUGUUAGCGGCGGACGGGUGAGUAACACGUGGAUAACCUACUUAUAAGACUGGGAUAACUUCGGGAAACCGGAGCUAAUACCGGAUAAUAUUUUGAACCGCAUGGUUCAAAAGUGAAAGACGGUCUUGCUGUCACUUAUAGAUGGAUUCGCGCUGCAUUAGCUAGUUGGUAAGGUAACGGCUUACCAAGGCAACGAUGCGUAGCCGACCUGAGAGGGUGAUCGGCCACACUGGAACUGAGACACGGUCCAGACUCCUACGGGAGGCAGCAGUAGGGAAUCUUCCGCAAUGGGCGAAAGCCUGACGGAGCAACGCCGCGUGAGUGAUGAAGGUCUUCGGAUCGUAAAACUCUGUUAUUAGGGAAGAACAUAUGUGUAAGUAACUGUGCACGUCUUGACGGUACCUAAUCAGAAAGCCACGGCUAACUACGUG
rnacentral:rRNA from 1 species